UACGUAGGUGGCAAGCGUUGUCCGGAUUUACUGGGCGUAAAGGGCGUGCAGGCGGUCUGUUAAGUCUAGGGUGAAAGCUCCCGGCUCAACUGGGAGAGGUCCUUGGAUACUGGCGGACUUGAGGGAGGCAGAGGAAAGUGGAAUUCCCGGUGUAGUGGUGAUAUGCGUAGAUAUCGGGAGGAACACCAGUGGCGAAGGCGGCUUUCUGGGCCUUACCUGACGCUGAGACGCGAAAGCGUGGGGAGCGAACAGG
rnacentral:rRNA from 1 species